rnacentral:snRNA from 1 species
AUGAACCGGAAGCCGGGUUA